AGGACGAACGCUGGCGGCGUGCUUAACGCAUGCAAGUCGAGCGGUAAGGCCUUUCGGGGUACACGAGCGGCGAACGGGUGAGUAACACGUGGGUGAUCUGCCCUGCACUUCGGGAUAAGCCUGGGAAACUGGGUCUAAUACCGGAUAUGACCUCCUAUCGCAUGGUGGGUGGUGGAAAGAUUUAUCGGUGCAGGAU
rnacentral:rRNA from 1 species